rnacentral:lncRNA from 1 species
GACAUGCUGUAGUCUGAAAACCCCUAAACUGAACUGAAUAAGGAGUUGAGGGGACAUGUUCCCAACUAACUCCGUCUACUGAAAUAAACUGAAAACUGAAAUAUUGAUAUGAAUAAUAACAUAAUUGAACUCGAAGGAUGAGGACUCACUAUUAAUUACUGCUUCUAGCUGACUCUGAAAUUGCUAAGGGAGCUCUGGAUCCCGUGCAUCCAAACCUUUGGUGUAAGACACCAUAGCGCGAGAAAAGUAUGCAUUAGUACUUUGAAUGUAUUGGUAUGCAAGUGAGGUAGGGUGAAUGCAUGGGGUUCAUAUGUAUGAACAAUAUUGACUAACAUAAACGUGAGAAUACAUGCAUGAAUACAUAAUAAUUGUAACUGAAACUGUACUUGUACUGGAUACUGAAUUCUGUGUACUGAUUUACUAACAUCUGAGUUUACUAAAUAAAGAGGAACUGAUGUUAUAUUAAUGAUAAAGAAAAUGACUGUUUCUGAUAGUUCUGAUUAUGAAGAAUUGAUCUGAUUGACCGUAUAUAAUAGUCCUAAAACUGAGUUCGUGAUAACAUGACUACUGAGUAUGAAUACUGGUGACAUGUAUUUACUGAUAACAUAUCAUUACUGAUAACUGAAUUCUGAUAACUGAUAUAUCUGAUAACAUAAGUUCUGAUAACUAAUAGCAUGAAUGACUGUAUCUGAUAGUCCUGAAUCUAAUGGAACUAGUUGAGUUCCGUACUGUAUCUGAGUUGACUGUAUCUGUCAGUCCUGAUAUCCUGAAGAACUAUCUGAGUUCUUUUACUGAGACUGAUACUAAAACUGUGGGAAGUAGUUAUCUAACCGACAUGCCCCAAAUACGCUAUAAUAUCUAAGAUGGGGUCCAAUCUUUGCCCUGAUUGGAAGGGUGUCAAUACUGCGCCUCUGGUAAGGACAAGCUGUGAGUGACCCUCAUCUGGCAGGUACUCUAAUGAGAACGGUGGGAAACCUCAUCUGACAGGUCAAGCCACCUCAUCUACCCUCAACUAAUAGGUAUUGAUGUCUCAACCUAUGAUGGCUACAUACUUCUGGAAUGCAAGGACUGCUUCUAAGAAUCACACGCUGUACUGGCAGGUGAGAUCCCAUCCGUGGGUUGCUAGUCGCUGAAUCCUAUAGCCAACUGAAUGACACUGAACUGAUGAUACUGAAUUGAUUUCCUAGUUCAUACUAGAAUUAACUCAACUGUUACUGAUUGUUCUGUUUAACUGAACUGAACAUGGACUGAGUUUAUUGAGUUCUGAUGACUAGCGGAACACUACUUAAUUCUGUUAAUUGACUAAAUGCUACUGAGUUCUAUUAGCUGAUUGAGUUUACUGAUGUCUGAACUUAACACUGAACUAAAAUAUAUUGAUACUGAGAUUUAUUGAAUUCCAUAGACUGACGGAAUAUUACAGAGAUUAUGUAGAUUACUGAGUACUGAGUAAAACUGAACUGAUACUGCCUUUACAUGAGUUUUCCUAACUCAUGAGACUGACUAAAGUCUACUGAACAUGGCUUGACUGAGAGUAUCGUGAAAACAUGACAUGGCUAUAGGCACCGAGCUAUAUUUUUUGGGUACAAGUACCCCCAGGACUCGAUGGAAGGAAACUGACACACCAUGAAAAUUCUUGAUCAUAGGAUUAAAGAUCCACAAUUCAUAAUACCAUAAGUUGGGGAUUUAAUGAAAGCACUUGAUAAGUAUAAUCUUGUACAUGAAUAGGAAUGUAUCCUAACAUAUCAUAAUUUCACAAUUUUAAUUUUACUUGCAUGACAUGAACUUGUAUACAUGCUAACAUAAUGUAGUUUCAUAACUUAACUUUCAUGAACCAUUUGUCAAACACCUGCAAGACAUAGCAUCAACAUGGAAAUCAUUUAAAUCAUGUAGUAUUAACAUGAAUUCAUUAUUUAGAUCACCAAUAGAUCACAAGGCACAAUUCAUUCACUUGAACAUUUUCACAAACACAUGAAAGACAUGAUUUUAUACUUAGGCAUGUAUAACAUGCUCCCAAUUCAUGACCAUAACCACCAAUUCACAUCUCAAGGUUUUCAAUAUAUGAUGGUCAUGAUUCAACACACAUGGGAAGCAUAGAUAUUUCAUUCAUCAAUUAACAUAUAUCAAUAUUAUGGGUAUAACAUCCAACUUGCAAAUUCCAAGAACUCAACAUAAAUCUCAUAUGAAUAAUACCACAAAUAAAUUAGUUUUCAUGAUUCUUGAAAUAACUCAUGGAAUUGAAACUCAAUUUAACACCAACAACAUAAUUAUAAAUAUCCCACAACAAAAUAUUCAUGAUACAUAACUUAAAACUUGAUUCUUGAGCUCCAUGGAUGAAAAGAAUCCAUGAAUGAAUACUAUGCAUACCUUAGAUUGAUUAUCCGUGAAAGUUAACAGUGAAAUUGGCUUGAAUCUUGAAACCCCCAAUUGAACCCUUACUUGUUCUUGAUAAUUUUUGAGAGAAUUUGAAAAAAAGAG